CCUACGGGAGGCAGCAGUGGGGAAUAUUGGGCAAUGGACGCAAGUCUGACCCAGCAACGCCGCGUGAAGGAAGAAGGCUUUCGGUUUGUAAACUUCUAUUAAGGGGGAAGAGCAGAAGACGGUACCCCUUGAAUAAGCCACGGCUAACUACGUGCCAGCAGCCGCGGUAAUACGUAGGUGGCAAGCGUUGUCCGGAUUUACUGGGUGUAAAGGGCGUGCAGCCGGCACGGCAAGUCAGAUGUGAAAUCCGCGGGCUCAACUCGCGAACUGCAUUUGAAACUGCUUCGCUUGAGUGUCGGAGAGGUAAGCGGAAUUCCUAGUGUAGCGGUGAAAUGCGUAGAUAUUAGGAAGAACACCAGUGGCGAAGGCGGAUUACUGGACGACAACUGACGGUGAGGCGCGAAAGCGUGGGGAGCAAACAGGAUUAGAUACCCUAGUAGUC
rnacentral:rRNA from 1 species